AUGCGGUUAAUCAAAAUUAAGUGAAGUGAAAUUUCAGUAAAUUGGAUAUCUAAAUUGAUGUGCAAAAAAGUGAAUACGAAGCGUGUGUGCGUGUGUUAGUGCGUGAAGUGUUUAAAGUAAAAAUUAAUUGUUAACCAAAAAGAUCGUAAAACGCAUUGUGCCGUGAAAGUGAUCCACUUGUAAGCACGAGUAUUUGAGUCUCUUCGCGGAAAUUAUUAAGACGGCUGUUCAUCAUUAAAAUUAAUGCCCGCAAACUAAACGAGCCGGCACCGCUGGGGCAUCGGGUUCAAUUCCCAACCGGAUCAUCACGUACCAUUACGGAAACCGUCACGUUUCGUGCCAUGUGGAUGGGUUUAAAUUUUCCAUCGAUGAACCGCGUAUUACAUCGCCGUUAGAAACAUCAUCAGCUUACGACUGCAGUCGGUCUUCAAUCGAAUCCAAAGCCUCGGACACUCUUGAAAGUAUCCCAACCGCACGAGGAGAUGAUCACGUAUAGCCAUCCUCAUAACUAGAAAACCCUCUUGCACAGAAACACUCUCACACACGGCGCCACUCACAAACACAC